GGGUGACCUCGGAUCAGGUAGGGAUACCCGCUGAACUUAAGCAUAUCAAUAAGCGGAGGA
rnacentral:rRNA from 1 species